rnacentral:lncRNA from 1 species
CUCCUGAGUAGCUGGGUCUACAGGCGCCCGCCAUCACGCCCGGCUAAUUUUUUGUGCUUUUAAUAGAGAUGGGGUUUCACCGUGUUAGCCAGGAUGGUCUUGAUCUCCUGACCUCAUGAUCCGCCCUCCUCGGCCUCCCAAAGUGCUGGGAUUACAGGUGUGAGUCACCGCGCUCGGCCAGGGCAAAUCUCUUUAACUAUUAUAAUUUUCUCAGUUAUAAUCUUGCCAUGGUGGUUUCAAAAGGUGACUGGAAGAAAGCGGAAGGAAUGCUUGCCUCAUCUUGCAGACAUCAGGUGCAUUCCUGAGAAGCUACAGGUGCACAACCUUAGUCAGGCUCUGGGGAUACAGAAGUAACAAGAAGACCAGACCCUUGUUCCAAUGGAGGAGACAUCCUGGUGGGUGAGACAGAAGGAAAAAAAAAUAAAGCAAA